CUCUUUCUCCUCCUCUCUUCUCUUCUCUUCUUUCUCUUCUCUCACAAGUUGAGGGGAAUGUUGUCUGGUUCGAAACCAUUCAUUUGAAGCACAUAAGCAUCAAACUGAAUGAUUUCGGACCAGGCUUCAUUCCCCCCAACUCGAAAGACUUAAUUGUUGUCGGGGGUACAAUGUCUUGUAUUCCGUUGCUUGCAUUAGUGGGCUGAUUCGAGCAUUUGAUCACUGAUCACUGCGUCAUCAUCGACUUCCUGAAUCAAGUGUUCAAUUAUGUAAUUGCAGAUGUAGACAAAAAGAGAGUGUAGAGUGUGAACAUAAAGACUGUAAAAUGGAGGUUUGAUUUAUUCUUUUCUAUCUUUUCAGGUGCUUGUUUAUUUGUUGGGAAUUGGAGUUGGUCUUACCAUUUGAGCUUUGCUUGCAGAGAGUUGCAAAGAAUAUAACUGAGGAGCUUUCACUUUAUUGCUACAUAAGAGGAGAGAAUCGUAACUGUAGCCAUUAAAGAGGAACUUUGAAUUCACCCCUUUAAUUUCUUUUCCUUAAGACUGCAAUGAUAACAUCUCCGUAGUCCAUAUACCAAACUUUUUGCUUCGAUGUAUAUCAGCUGCAACCCAUGUGUAUCAGAUGCAACCCAUGUGGGUCAGAUCCACAUGAUCGUCGACACACCGAGGAUCGAGCACUGUUACUACUCAGUAUAAAUACAUGAAAGAAGGGCAUACCCAAUGCACAAGGCUCCCACCAGUGGGGGGUCGGGGAGGAUCAUAAUGUGCGCAGCCUUACCCUCCUAAUUCUAACCCGUGAUCAUUAGGUUGCAAUGGAGCGAAGCAACCUUAUUAUUGCGCCAAGGUCCGCCCCUCUACAGGAGAAAUACAUGAGAUGGAGAAAAUAUCCACUUCUGUAGAUGGUCCGUGUAUUAUUGCCAAUCUAUUUGGAAUUAGUAGUUGAAAGUUAGGCUGAGAAAAAAUGGGAACAAUGUACUUGUUGGGUUUGAUAUGACUUGGAAAGAUGGGAGAAGAAAAUUAGAAAGAUCUAAGAACAAAAAAGGAGGGUCACCAAAUAGACCCCCCCUUUGUCUGAUUGCUUGUUAAUUACCUAAAUUGUGUUAACUUUUCCUUGCAUCAAGCUGGUAUAUAUAAUGGUCAUAGGGUUAGGGGGUUAGGUUAGCCUAGUGAAAAGAUGAGAAGCAUGUGAGUUUGUGCUUGACAGCAAGAGAGCCUUACAUUGGAAACUUUUUCUUAUUGUUCAAUGUUCAUAGUUCAUGCCUUAUUUUUCUUCUUGUGAUUAUUAAUUUCUUUUCAACAUCUCUUACUUGUUAGCUGUGUGCUUCCAUAUGGAUAUCUUGUUGACUUGUUAAUAUGGAGACCUUAGGAUUCUAGAGCUUUAGCUAUUCAGCCUAUAUGUGUUUCUAUUUCUUUGUUGGUCUGCUCCCUGGUCUUUGUUGUAGGUUGCUUUGUUCUGUUUUUCUUCCUUGCUUUAAUAAAGCAGCAUUAUUCAUUAAAUA